AGUGAACGCUGGCGGUAGGCCUAACACAUGCAAGUCGAACGGCAGCACAGUAAGAGCUUGCUCUUACGGGUGGCGAGUGGCGGACGGGUGAGGAAUACCUCGGAAUCUACUUUUUCGUGGGGGAUAAUGUAGGGAAACUUACGCUAAUACCGCAUACGACCUACGGGUGAAAGCAGGGGAUCUUCGGACCUUGCGCGAUUGAAUGAGCCGAUGUCGGAUUAGCUAGUUGGCGGGGUAAAGGCCCACCAAGGCGACGAUCCGUAGCUGGUCUGAGAGGAUGAUCAGCCACACUGGAACUGAGACACGGUCCAGACUCCUACGGGAGGCAGCAGUGGGGAAUAUUGGACAAUGGGCGCAAGCCUGAUCCAGCCAUACCGCGUGGGUGAAGAAGGCCUUCGGGUUGUAAAGCCCUUUUGUUGGGAAAGAAAAGCAGCAGGUUAAUACCCCGCUGUUCUGACGGUACCCAAAGAAUAAGCACCGGCUAACUUCGUG
rnacentral:rRNA from 1 species